CUGUGUGAAUUGCAGAAUCCCGUGAACCAUCGAGUCUUUGAACGCAAGUUGCGCCCAAAGCCAUUAGGCCGAGGGCACGCCUGCCUGGGUGUCA
rnacentral:rRNA from 1 species